GGUUGUGUAGUGUAGUUGGCCUAGCACAUCGGAUUCUGAUUCCGGGGACCCCGGUUCGAAUCCGGGCACGACCU